AUAUGGGCCGAAUUGCCACACCCGCUUUGGCCCGAGUUGCCGCUAGGCCUUCUGUAGCCACGGACCAUCGUCUCCAACGGCAACGAGGUCUUGAAAUUAGUCAUCAGUUCUUGAAAUUCUAGUUCUAGAAGAUUCCCCAACGGAACCCGGGCGUGCGCGCGCGCUUGCUCCCCCGCAUCCCCAUUCACGAUUCACCUUCACCCGCGUGCUCGGUGCUCUCUAUCUCUCUCUGCGACGACUGGGUGUGGGCUACCGCCGCCGCCGUGCCGAGGCCUUCGUCGGUCUCCUCUCCGGCGACGAGCACCCAUCAGGAUGCAGGAGCUCUCGGGGCUCCGAUCCCUCGCUGGAUCCACCUCGACGGCCAUGGAGGCCGCAAACCCCAGGCCCUCCCCGGAUACUGAGGGUUAUUUAGUUUUUGCCUGAUUUCCUCCACCUUGGUUUGACAAGCUAUAUUAAUCUGUGUCAUCACUGAUUUCUCUUGGAAUUUUAUUUGGUUGCAGAGAAACCAGUCCAGGAGCAGGCUUCGGUGGAGAGUGAUCUAGAAAUGGCGGUAUGAUUAUAUAUAUAUUGUGUGUUGAGUAAUUUAACCUUUGGUAUGUUGGAAUUGAAUGUUGUACCUUUUUAGUAUUGCCGAAGUCACUCUCAUAUUUGUAAAAAAAAGAAAAAUCACUCUAAUUAUUUUCUGGAUGCAUGUACUCCUUGAA